rnacentral:misc_RNA from 1 species
AGGCAAGGUGGGUCCAAUGACACCGUUGCCUGAUUUGGUCACUAUCCAUCCUCCCAAAGAAGAAGAGUAUAUUCCAACACCAGUGAUGACAGCCAAUAUUGAGAUUCCAGUUACAUAAAUUCUGAAUUUCGACUGAAAAAGUCUGUACCACAGGCUUUUAUUGGCCUGUUGUUUCUUAUAUAUAUUUUAGGAGAGAGACAAAAAUUCUUGAAUGCAUCAGGAGUUAGUUUUUGCUUGCUUCUAUUAGCAUCUCAAGUUUGGGCUAAAUUUCGUUCAGCGUCUCUUAACUGUGUUGUUUUUCGUCAUCCUUCACCUUUAUUUUUUUUUUCUUAAAAUUUUCUGAAUUUUAAUUCGAGCAAUAUGAAGUGACUGUAAUAUUCAAUUGCAGGUUUUCAGUUUAAUUUUCUUGUUUGGUGAUAAAAAAUAAAAAAGAGAAUUUACUCGACUA